CGACUGCAGCGCUACUGAGCCGCGUGGCUGAACGUGGGUUCUGCUACUCUGUGAUCGUCGUCGCUAUCCGUUUGAUCCUCUAUUCGCUGGAUUAGAACGUGUCACAAGACCGCGAACAUCUCCCACCCACCCUCAUCUCUGCCGUCGGCCUCCUCUGCCUCUGUCUGUUCUGCUUCGUGUUUUCGAUGCAUCCCACGCUCCGGGUGAACUGGAGGCCCCAUAACUAUGGGGUCUGGCGCUACAGUUUUUAUCUUCGGGUGCUUGAUUCUGCGCACAAGUGUCGGACGGCAGGUGCAGAAUUGCACGUGGCUGCGGAGAUAAGGUGACCAUCUUCCUUAACUUCACCGACCGCUGGCGCCAAGUUCGUGCUGGACAGUACGAGAUAGACCAGUGCGGCAACGUCGUGCAGUCCUCAAGAUCUUGCGUUUU